rnacentral:rRNA from 1 species
GACGAACGCUGGCGGCGUGCCUAAUACAUGCAAGUAGAACGCAGUUGCGAACGGGUGAGUAACGCGUAGGUAACUGCCUCAUAGCGGGGGAUAACUCUUGGAAACGAUAGCUAAUACCGCAUACUGUGAGAUGGACCUGCGUUGUAUUAGUUAGUUGGUGAGGUAAAGGCUCACCAAGGCGGAGGUACAUAGCCGACCUGAGAGGGUGAACGGCCAAACUGGGAAUGGAGAACGGCCCAGACUCCUAACGGAGGAAGCAGUAGGGAAUCUUCGGCAAUGGACGGAAAGCUGAACGAACAACGGCGCCGGAGUGAAGGAGGUUUUCAGAUCGGAAAGCUCUGUUGUGAGGGAAGCGGUAACGAAAGAGAAAGGGACGGCUAACUACGUGCCAGCAGCCGCGGUAAUAC